CGCGGGGUGGAGAAGUCUGGUAUCUCGUCGGGCUCAUAACCCGAAGACCGCAGGUUCAAAUCCUGCCCCCGCUACCA
rnacentral:tRNA from 1 species